rnacentral:lncRNA from 1 species
UUCAUGGAUGUUCUUCAUUGUUCUUGUUAUGUUCUAACCAAGAACAAAAAGGUUUGGUGUUUUGAUUCAAAGUGUUUGAUGUUUUUCAUAAAGUUUUGUUCAUGGUGGUUGGUGUGACUUUAUUGUAAUAAAUGGUAAGACAUGAUUUGUCCUUUUUCAAUCAACACCAUACCAAUCACUUACACAUUUUCCUUAUUUCAAUGAACCAUGUUUUAUGGAAAUCACUUUUUCAAACCUACCCAUCACCUUUCACUUUUGUUGAAAAAUUCAAAAAUUUUAUGACACCAUCUCUCAUCCAAAGUAGGCCACCCUAUUAAAUAGGGUACUUUUGGGGCUUUUAUGCAAUUACAUAAAGUUUUGAUACUUUUGUGUAUUUGUACUUUGACCUGAAAGUUUACGUUUUUACGUAAAGGCCCAAAAUCACUAAAGGACAAAUUGUUUUGCUCCUUUAAU